UUGAGGACUAACUCUCAUUAUAAGAAGAUAAAAAAAAGACAGGUAUUUUUUGCAGGCAUUUCAUCAAAGAACGUGCAACAUAAGCAAUGAGACUGUGCAACAUAUGAAGAUGUUCAUACUCAGUUUGAUGAUAGUAAUUUAAAGAGAGACAAUUUGAAUGAAACCAGGAGGACUUAUCAAUUUUUCCCAAUAGCUUAACUCUCUAUUCGGAACAUAGGGAACGCGUUCUAUCUGUGGCGUCUAUAGACAUUGACUGUGUUCAAAUGGCUAAAUUGUUUAGAUUGGGUUGGGAAGGGUUUUAAGGUUUUCUGUUUCUUAUAUUUAGAAAAGGGAAGGAUCAAGGAGGAUGGCGCUGAGGCAAUUCUACAAAGAUGUGAUAGUGAAGGACGUGCCUACCUACGCGAAGCCAGUGCUACCUGACAAUACAUUUCCAGCAGCCCGAGUAAGGCUUUUGACAAUUACUACGCCUAGUACAUCUUGACGAGCUCAACCACGUGGCCUUCGGCGGACUAUUAAUCUCUUAGCCAGUGGUUCUGCCUGAGGAGCGUUGCCAUCUCCAGCACCAGAAGCACAGAAGGACCAUGCCUAUUAAUUUCAAGAGCUAUAUGGAAGACCAGCGUCUUUUGUUGAUGCUAUUCAAAUAUAUGGUUUGCAAGUCAAGGCAAGAGACUGUUCUGACACAAUAAGCUUUGGCACGUUCAGAUAAUGAUAAACCUAUUGUCUUUUCACUUUGCAUUCUAAAUGUCACGCUUUUGACAAAUGUAGUGAGAUUAAGAAAACUUAUUAUAUUAACAUUUGUGCUUCCAGAGGCUCCUGCCUAUGAGCUUCUUUCAAUGUUCCAAACUUUAUCAUUGGUGCAGGAGUAAAUGGGUAGAUUGCUUGUGCUUGGCGCAGAAGUAAGGAUAAAUUAGGCUAUUGUUGUGUAAAGCUAUAGGGGCAUAGCCUCUUACUUGCAGAUAUUUUAACAAUACUGAUUUGGAUGCUGGAAGUUGAAUUUACUGCAUUUAUAAA